rnacentral:rRNA from 1 species
UACGUAGGGGGCAAGCGUUGUCCGGAAUCAUUGGGCGUAAAGAGCGUGUAGGCGGCCCGGAAAGUCUGGUGUGAAAUCUUAGGGCUCAACCCUAAGCUGUCACUGGAUACUGUCGGGCUUGAGUCCGGAAGAGGAGAGUGGAAUUCCGCGUGUAGCAGUGAAAUGCGUAGAUAUCAGGAAGAACACCCGUGGCGAAGGCGGUUCUCUGGGACGGUACUGACGCUGAGACGCGAAAGCGUGGGGAGCGAACAGG